rnacentral:rRNA from 1 species
GACGUAGGGCGCAAGCGUUGUCCGGAUUUAUUGGGCGUAAAGAGCUCGUAGGCGGCUCGUUGCGUCGGCUGUGAAAACCCACGGCUUAACCGUGGGCCUGCAGCCGAUACGGGCGAGCUAGAGUUCGGUAGGGGAGACUGGAAUUCCUGGUGUAGCGGUGAAAUGCGCAGAUAUCAGGAGGAACACCGGUGGCGAAGGCGGGUCUCUGGGCCGAAAUUGACGCUGAGGAGCGAAAGCGUGGGGAGCAAACAGG